rnacentral:rRNA from 1 species
CAGAGGGAAGGCAAUACCGCGAGGUGGAGCAAAUCCCUAAAAGCCAUCCCAGUUCGGAUCGCAGGCUGCAACCCGCCUGCGUGAAGUUGGAAUCGCUAGUAAUCGCGGAUCAGCAUGCCGCGGUGAAUACGUUCCCGGGCCUUGUACACACCGCCCGUCACACCAUGAGAGUCGGGAACACCCGAAGUCCGUAGCCUAACUGCAAAGGGGGCGCGGCCGAAGGUGGGUUCGAUAAUUGGGGUGAAGUCGUAACAAGGUAUC